rnacentral:rRNA from 1 species
UGACCGCUGGCGGCGUGCUUAACACAUGCAAGUCGAACGGUGAAGCAGAGCUUGCUCUGUGGAUCAGUGGCGAACGGGUGAGUAACACGUGAGCAACCUGCCCCUGACUCUGGGAUAAGCGCUGGAAACGGCGUCUAAUACUGGAUAUGAGCUGCGACCGCAUGGUCAGCAGUUGGAAAGAUUUUUCGGUCUGGGAUGGGCUCACGGCCUAUCAGCUUGUUGGUGAGGUAAUGGCUCACCAAGGCGUCGACGGGUAGCCGGCCUGAGAGGGUGACCGGCCACACUGGGACUGAGACACGGCCCAGACUCCUACGGGAGGCAGCAGUGGGGAAUAUUGCACAAUGGGCGAAAGCCUGAUGCAGCAACGCCGCGUGAGGGAUGACGGCCUUCGGGUUGUAAACCUCUUUUAGCAGGGAAGAAGCGAAAGCGACGGUACCUGCAGAAAAAGCGCCGGCUAACUACGUG